GACAGAGGGUGCAAACGUUGUUCGGAAUUAUUGGGCGUAAAGCGCGCGCAGGCGGUUCUUUUAAGUCUGAUGUGAAAGCCCACGGCUCAACCGUGGAGGGUCAUUGGAAACUGGAGAACUUGAGUACAGAAGAGGAAAGCGGAAUUCCACGUGUAGCGGUGAAAUGCGUAGAGAUGUGGAGGAACACCGGUGGCGAAGGCGGCUACCUGGACCGGCACUGACGCUGAGGCGCGAAAGCGUGGGGAGCAAACAGG
rnacentral:rRNA from 1 species